CACAGAAUUUGCUGAAGAUAUUUUGCUGAACAUUUUUUAUUAUAUAUAAUAUUACAGCUAAACAAAGAGCUGUUAAGUAAUUUUUUUAAUUUAAAUAUUGGCUACUAAUCCAAAACUAUGACCAUAAAUUUGAAUCAUGACAAUGGUUUCGAGCCAAUGCUUUGCACCUUUACAAGACAAUGCAACAUGCAAUUGCACUUCCAGAGAACUUAAUUUCCAGAUGGUUUCAAUAUCAAAUCUAGUCCAUAAGAGUCCUGAAAAAAAAAGUUAAAUGAUUUCCUAGUCUGGUAAAGCUUUCUAAUCGAUCUUUAAUGUUUUUGUUAUAGAUAUGUAAAUACAAAUGCAUUAAAUGAUACGAUAAUCAUUACUGCUAUAUUUGAACAAUUACUUUUUUAAAUGCUUGUCUGAUAUCAUUGUUUC